ensembl:lncRNA
GGAGCCUUGCUCUCACAGCCUUCUGAGUCAAGUCUAUUCAUUCCCGUCCUGCCUCGACAGUGACAGAAGAAUGUUCCUCAGGAAGAACCACUUUUGCCUUUCUGACCCAUGACUGAAUGGUGAAAGCAAGUAUCGCCAUCAAUUUAAGAAUUGGAAAAAAACCAAAAAACCCAGGAAUGGCGCGAAUUAUGUUUAUUACCUAUAACACCUGGCAACCUCCAGCAUCCGGCGAGCAGGAAGAUGAGGAGAAGGAGAAGGAGAAGGAGAAGGAGAAGGAGAAGGAGAAGGAGAAGGAGAAGGAGAAGGAGAAGGAGAAGGAGAAGGAGAAGGAGAAGGAGAAGGAGAAGGAGAAGGAGAAGGAGAAGGAGAAGGAGAAGGAGAAGGAGAAGGAGAAGGAGAAGGAGAAAGAAGGAGAAGGAGAAGGAGAAGGAGAAGGAGAAGGAGAAGGAGAAGGAGAAGGAGAAGGAGAAGGAGAAGGAGAAGGAGAAGGAGAAGUGAGGGCUUGCCGCGGCUGCCCGUGCUCUCCACUGCCCGCCCGCAGCCGGGCAAGAGCACAGUGCCCACGCUGCCUGUCCCGGCGCGGCACAGCUUGGCGCAAUAGGUUCAGACACGCGCCCUCCCCACCCGUGGUGCUGCUUUGCUCAUCUGCAGCCAGCCCUGCUGAGACCUCCCCAAAUGGGCCCUCUCCCUCACACUGUUGCUGUUGGGAGAGAAAGCACCUGGCGCCUGGCAAUACGGCUGCUGUUCUUUUCCUUGAGAGUGAUUUUCCCUCUUCAAGGAGAAAGGAUCUCUGAAAACUCCUACAUGGUACCAAAAAUGGGAAAGUGCAUGAAUCCUAUGUUAUCAGAUAGUUAUGGGGUUUUUCUUUGGGAAAUGACUGCAAGAAUACGUGGGAUUCCUUCAAAUCAGAGGGUUUUGGGCACAUUGCAAAAGGCAGGCCUCAGAGACAGCAAGAUGGUGAUUAGAGCUAAGCAGUAGUUAUAAGAGUUGUCAGCAAAAAAAUUAUACAAGAAGUAGAAAGGACAAAUAAAACAAUAGUCUGUGUAUUAACGCUUGGGUAGAAUAACUUCUUAAGUUGCAGAAAAGUAUAUCUGGUGAGAUAUUAAGAAGGUCUAAGCUUAAUAAUGGAGCUCUGUGCAUUGUAUCUUGAGGCUUACAAGCAAGUAUUGUAUUCGAAAUAAGCAAGCAUUGUUUUAACUAAAGGUACGUGUGCUUACAGUGAUUGGCUAGAACUACUGUCAAUAUGCUUUUGCUUUGUGUGACUGGUCAAAAAGUUUAUAAAGUAAGUUGUAACAUUAAGUUCUUGGUCUGUUGCCUAGAUGUAAGAUGCUGACAUCUUCCCAUUGUCAUAACCAUGUAAUGAGACUGAUGCUAAAAAAUAAACAGCUCGAGACGCAUACCACAGCAGUCUCGUCCCGUUCAUGACUUGUAUAUAGCCCCCAGCCGGCGAUAGAAUAGAAUUUUGACGAAUUAAAUAAAACUCCUAAAUAUUUUCAAGUGGAUCCACUGUCUCCAGUUUCAUAUAAUAAUUUAUCAGUGUUACCAAAACAUGUAAUUCCCUAUCUUAAUCUCAAUUAGAAGUUAUUUUACCAGGCACACUGCAAACUAAAGCAUGUAUUGCAAAGAAGUGAAACACCCUGAUGUACUCUCUACCUAAUUAAUUUGUAGGAGACUCUAGCUCAAAUUUUGGACACUAGGCUGCCGCUGGGUACAAAAUGUCUGCUCUGGUAUCUUCCUCUGAGACCACCUGCAGGCUGAGGCUGCAGUGACAGCAUAGUGCUCCUGACAUUUCAUGGUGUCAUUAGUGCAGUAGAAAAGAUCUUCAAAAAAAACACCAAAAAAAACCUCAAGGCAAAUGCAUUUCUAUAUGUCUACAUGUAUGUGUAAAGAUAAAGUCUCAGACAACUGAGCUCAGUGCAUAUCUCAUUGCUUCUGUGAGUCCUGAGAGGCUGAGAAUAUCUUCAGUGGUGAGAACCAAAGGUCUGUCUGUGUGGUUUCAAAGACUAGCAAUUGAGUUGAUUCCCAGAAAGAGUGAGAACAGAACAACUAUAUAUGACACAUCUCCUGACUGUUCUAAUUUCUGGCUGUUUUUAGCUCAGGGGAUUUUCUCUAGCUCAUGUGUUUUGGCUAUUCAGCAGCCCUCAGUAGACUUAACUUCCAAGUGCUUGUCCAAUCUGUCCUUGAAUUCAUGUAACCCUUUUCCAUGCAUAAAAGUUUAAGUCUGUGUUUAUACUAUUAAACUAAACAGAGACAGUUUACAAGUCCAA